UCUAAUAUAUUUAUAAUUAGUACGACCUGCUCAUGGUUUCAUAAAUAGCCGCAAUCUUAUGCGCUAAGGUAGCAUAAUCAUUUGCCUGGUAAUUUCAGGCUAGAAUGAAAGGUUAAACAUAUUAAAUACUUUAUUUUCAUAACACUUAUAAAUUUACUUAUCCGUAAAAAGGCGGAUAUAGCAAGAGGGACGACAAGACCCUGACAAACUUUACUUCAAAGUUUAGCUGGGGAGGCAUAAAAACAAAAUCUUUUUCUUUUAUCCUAACAUAACCUUAACUAAGAUACCCAAGUUACUGCAGGGAUAACAGCAUAAUAUUUUCUUAAAGAUCUUAUUCAAGAAAAUUCUUGUGACCUCGAUGUUGAAUUAAAAUGUCUAUUUAGAGUAACCCCUAAAAAAGAAAGUCUGUUCGACUAUUAAUAUUUUACAUGAUUUGAGUUCAGACCGGCGUAAGCCAGGUCGGUUUCUAUCUUCUUUCAAAAAUUUUUAGUACGAAAGGAUCAAAAUAUUUAUAUUAUAUAC
rnacentral:rRNA from 1 species